UACGUAGGUGGCAAGCGUUGUCCGGAUUUACUGGGCGUAAAGAGCGCGCAGGCGGUCGAUCAAGUCGAGUGUGAAAGCCCCCGGCUCAACUGGGGAGGGUCAUUCGAAACUGGUCGACUCGAAGGCAGGAGAGGGUAGUGGAAUUCCCGGUGUAGUGGUGAAAUGCGUAGAUAUCGGGAGGAACACCAGUGGCGAAGGCGACUACCUGGCCUGUUCUUGACGCUGAGGCGCGAAAGCUAGGGGAGCAAACGGGG
rnacentral:rRNA from 1 species